UAAUCUUCUUUUCUCUGCCGUAGCUCUUGACUUCAUUCAUGGCGAUUUAGGGUUCUUGGAAAAUCAUUGUUCUUCAUCGAUGUUUCGUCAGAUGGUUAGUCUUUAAUCUCGUUUUCGUCAUCCUCCUCUUCGUUCUCACAUACGAAAAAACGAAAUCGUACGAGUUUCGACGGUUCAUUACGAAAUAAAAGUGUUCUUAGAUUAAUAAGUUCUUGAGUUAAGACACUUAAUAGUUUUAAGUGUGUUUGAAUCUUGAAUUAUAAUCAUCGCAGGAGCCGAGAGUUCCUCUGGCAAGGACACACUGUUCACGCCACAAAAGAAGACGCAGAUAAAGAGGUAACACUAGUUUUUUUUUCUUCGUGAUCUAAACCUUAAACAUUUAUAUACUUGAAAAACAUGUUAAUUUCUGUGUUUAAUUUUUUUAGGUUCUUGAGGCUUUGGACCAUUACCGUCACAUUUAUGAAGAGUAUUUUGCAGUCCCAGUUGUAAAAGGUAUGAAGAGUGAGAAGAAGUUUGCAGGUGCACGUUAUACCACAAGCGUUGAGGUAAAAAUUACAUUUAAAAACUUGGACUGAUGUAUUUAUAAGUUGUCAUGUAGUCUCUUUAUUUACAAAUCAGUAAAUGCGAUUAUGUUUUAGGCUUUCAUACCAGAAACUGGUCGUGGUAUACAAGGUGCAAAGAUGUUUGACAUCACAUUCACAAAUAAAGAAGGAAAAAGUAAAAGGUGUGGCGAAUUCUUGGGCUUAUAGUGCCAUAACGAUUGGAGUGAUGAUAUUGACUUAUGGAGAUGACAAAGGAUUGGUGAAUCCCCCUAACGUUGCACCAAUCCAAGUCAGACUCAGUGAGGAAGGAAAUGGUCUUGAUGUCUGUGAUAGCUAACCAAGAUUGAGCUUAACCGAAGUCUGUGAUAGCUUUGAUCCAAGGGUCUUGAUGUGAUCAAGCAAGCUCAAUCUGGAACACAAAGACAGCUAUGAAAUUUAAAUCCGGCGUUUUGCAACAGCUUGAUUACACUCUUGUUCAGUCCCAAGCUUUUGUUUUUACUCCUACCAUGUAGUGUUAGCUCAUUGCAGUUCACUUUUUUUUUUCCAUAGCAUAUUGUUUAAGUUGUUUGCAUGAAGUUGAUCUUGAAUGUUUGUCUUGCUUUUCUUGUUGGCAUGAAGUUGUUUGACGUCUUCACACAAUACAUAAAUUUCAUAAAUAAUACGAUACAUGGCAUACAUUAUAUUCCAAGAAACAGAAACAAACAAGAAAAUGGUAAAACUGGACAAUAAAGGUAAGCAAGUGGCAACAUUUAGUAGUCAUCACUUACAUAAACUUUCACCGUUAAUUUUGUAGAGUAAAGAGGCAUACAAUCUCGGUAUUUAUGGGUAAGAGAAUGAUAUAAUAAACAAGACACAAUAACAUAGAUUAGAACCAUGUUGUACUGAUAGAGAAAAGAGGUGAUUUUAUGGAUGAAGAAGAGAGAAACACAAACAAAGAGAAAAAGAUCGUGGGAGGAGGAGGAGGAGGAGAAGAACGUGGAUAAAAUAUUUUCAAAUAUAUUUUGAGAGAUUUAUGUUAGAUUUAGUUUAGAAUUAGAAAACUUCUUUAACUGAAUAUGAAAGUUUCCAUAUUUUCACGGUUUGCCUAGAAUAUGUACACUACCUAAGCAGAACACCGUAUAGUAGGUGAAAAAUGUAUUCUUCAUGUAGGCGUCAUAUAAGGUAAAAGGCAGAACAAGUUAUGUCUCGUAAUAUAACUGACAUAUAUCAUUGAGUUGUGGCUAUAUAUCGUUAUCGAGCUGUAGGUAUACCGAAUACAUCUUUCUUGAUUAUAACGUAACUGAUUCUAUCUUUGCUAGAAUAUACAAGAAAAGUUAGUUUACGGUAUAUACCCUUGAUAUAUCUAUGUUUAAAACUUAGAAUCAGACAUAUAAACUAGGUAGAUUACCAGAAUGAGUAUUCUAAUUGUAGCUAGAAGAUAAAAUAAAAUAUGAUUUCAAUUUUUUUUUUUUAAAGUUUAAACAUAUAUAUUGUCAUACUUAUGUUUCCAACAGUUUUCAUAUUUUUUUACAUUUUUAAAAUUCAAUUUACUAUUUUUCCCAUUAAAAAAGGGUAAAACAUGUCCAGAAUUACCAAAAGUAUGAGAAGUCUUAUUGUGACAAACAAAAGUUCAAAGUGUCCCAUUUUUCCAAUUUUCCCUUCUUACAAUCCCGGCAAGAUCAACACAAUCUACUGCUCUAGUAGUUCAUCCAAAAAUAACAGUGACUUUAUACAAGGAGAACCUAAAAAAUAGAACAUUCAUAUACAUGCCAAUCCAAUAGAAAUGAUAAAUUUUGUUGGAAUUACACAAAAUUGGACAAUAAACAAUUAAAUCGAGUUACUAGGUUGCAAAGAAUAUCCUCGUCAAGGACUGGUUGGUCCGAAUUGUUCACGUGUAUAGGAAAGCUAACCGAUUAGCUGAUGGGUUAGCUAACCUUGUGUUUUCUCUUUCUUUUGGGUUUCAUCGUUUUGAUGUUGUUCCGCUUGAGUUUGUUAGUUUGAUACGAGAGGAUGUCGAUGGACUGUUACAGCCACGACAAGUUCGACUGUAAUUUGAAGUUUUAGUUUAAAUAAAUUUGGGAGGCUUCCUCCCAUCUUCCUACC